rnacentral:rRNA from 1 species
AGAGCGGUACCAAAUCGAGGCAAACUCUGAAUACUAAACUGGUACUCGGCCAGUCAGACGGUGGGGGAUAAGCUUCAUCGUCAAGAGGGAAACAGCCCAGACCACCAGCUAAGGUCCCCAAAUGACUGCUAAGUGAUAAAGGAGGUGGGAGUGCAGUGACAACCAGGAGGUUUGCCUAGAAGCAGCCACCCUUAAAAGAGUGCGUAAUAGCUCACUGGCCUAGCGCUCCUGCGCCGAAAAUGAACGGGGCUAAGCAGUCUACCGAAGCUGUGGAUAUCCGCAAGGAUAUGGUAGGAGAGCGUUCUGUAAGCCUGUGAAGGUGUCUUGUAAAGGAUGCUGGAGGUAUCAGAAGUGCGAAUGCUGACAUGAGUAGCGAUAAUGCGGGUGAAAAGCCCGCACGCCGUAAGCCCAAGGUUUCCUGUUCAACGUUCAUCGGAGCAGGGUGAGUCGGCCCCUAAGGCGAGGCAGAGAUGCGUAGCUGAUGGGAAGCAGGUUAAUAUUCCUGCACCGUCGUUAGAG